CUGCUCUCAGUGUCGCACCUGGAGAGUUUCCAGUACUCUACCAGUCUCGACUGUAGGAGGUUAAGUCAAGCAGAGGCAUAUCCAUUCCAAUCCUAACUUGGGCAGUAGCUAGUGAGUGGAAGGCAAUCUGCUACAAUU